rnacentral:rRNA from 1 species
GACAGAGGGUGCAAACGUUGUUCGGAAUUACUGGGCGUAAAGCGCGUGUAGGCUGUGCUGCAAGUCGGGUGUGAAAGCCCCGGGCUCAACCUGGGAAGUGCACUCGAAACUGCAGGACUCGAGUCCUGGAGAGGAAGGCGGAAUUCUCGGUGUAGAGGUGAAAUUCGUAGAUAUCGAGAGGAACACCGGUGGCGAAGGCGGCCUUCUGGACAGUGACUGACGCUGAGACGCGAAAGCGUGGGGAGCAAACAGG